GGAAGCAUAGCUCAGCUGGGAGAGCAUCUGCCUUACAAGCAGAGGGUCACAGGUUCGAGCCCUGUUGUUUCCA
rfam:Eubacterium coprostanoligenes strain ATCC 51222 genome assembly, contig: EI64DRAFT_scaffold00003.3